UGGGGAAUAUUGGACAAUGGGCGCAAGCCUGAUCCAGCCAUGCCGCGUGUGUGAAGAAGGCCUUAGGGUUGUAAAGCACUUUCAGUGGGGAGGAAGGGUGUUGUGUUAAUAGCACAGCAUUUUGACGUUACCCACAGAAGAAGCACCGGCUAACUCCGUGCCAGCAGCCGCGGUAAUACGGAGGGUGCAAGCGUUAAUCGGAAUUACUGGGCGUAAGGCGCACGCAGGCGGCUUUUUAAGUCGGAUGUGAAAGCCCCGGGCUCAACCUGGGAAUUGCAUCUGAUACUGGGAAGCUAGAGUAUGUGAGAGGGGGGUAAAAUUCCAAGUGUAGCGGUGAAAUGCGUAGAGAUUUGGAGGAAUACCAGUGGCGAAGGCGGCCCUCUGGCACAAUACUGACGCUCAGGUGCGAAAGCGUGGGGAGCAAAACAGGAUUAGAUACCCUGGUAGUCCACGCCGUAAACGAUGUCUACUAGAUGUUCGUGGUCUUGUACCGUGAGUAUCGCAGCUAACGCAUUAAGUAGACCGCCUGGGGAGUACGGUCGCAAGAUUAAAACUUAAAUGAAUUGAC
rnacentral:rRNA from 1 species